rnacentral:lncRNA from 1 species
UACUUCAUGAAAACCAUGCAUAUUUCAGUACAUUAGUGGCUUGUACUACAUCGCUAAUUAUGCAAAAAUAAGUUGAGUAUGAAUGUCACUGCAAAGUAUGUCAAUAUCUAUCACAAAUAUGUGAGUACAUAGAUAAAAUUAAGCCACCCUUUGAAGUAUAACUAAACAUCAGACUGGACUCGCCCAGAUUGAGCAUAUCACAAGCAUAAAUAUCUUGAUGAGACAUGGUAGCACCAUUUUUGGUACAUGGCCAGCAACAGGCAUUAAGGACUAAUCUGAUCACCAUUCAACAAGCAUUGUUAUUUAAUUAUAUGCUCUAGUAUCUUGAUGGUACAUAACAGAAAUGUUCUAGCAUUUCCCUCCUGUUCUACUACUCCUUGUUCAUCAAGCUUCUUGUUUUGGGAGAGAUCACACCAAGCAAACACGAUUCAGUUGAGCACAGACACGUACAGAUGCCUGAUCAACAACAGAGUUAAAGUCAAGUUGCAGAGAAAUUCUCUCAAUUGUCAGAAAAGGGGGACUUUGAUAAAAGCUUCUUCUAUCCAUCUGUAGUCCUGAUGUUUCCGCUUGUCAGAGCAGCAUGCAUCUACAAAUACAAGGAAAAAAAUAUAGUUUACAUUACAAGGAAAGAAAUAGGAAAAUUAUGUUCUCUAAUACUGAUCAUGUAUGUAUUGAACAAUUAAGAGUGCAAUUCAAUUUGUUUUGCUAACUCGUACUCCCUCCUUCCGAAAAAGCUUGUCCCAAACUUGUCCCUCAAAUAGAUGUAUCUAGCACUAAGUUGGUGUUAGAUACAUCCAUUUGAGGGACAAGCUUUUUCGAACAGAGGGAGUAGAUGACAAAAGUAAAAACUUGAUGCUGUAGCACAAAGGCACAUGUCAAACCAGUGAAGAGAAAACGAAAAUAAUAUCAUACGGCAAAAUAUAUUCACAGAAGGGAUUAAUGGAAAAUUAGGCAAUGACAAAAUAUUCUUGCCUUUUUGGACUAUGUCUUGUCACCUGAUAGUGUUGGUACAAAUUUUGCAAUUACUGGAACUGUGGGCUCGCCUAACGGCGAUGUCUCACUACUUCCCUCCAUUUCAGUUCAAGAUGUAGCAGCAAAAUAGCGGAAAACAAACUUAGUACUAGUCGACGAGCUUCAACCUAUCCAUCAUAUGGAGAGCAGAAAAUCGAGAAAUCAGCCCCAAUUACAAGAUUGCAAUGUUAAGGCUGCAAAUUAAAAAGAUACGCAGAAAGAGAGUCUUCUUUUCUACUGUACAUACAAAAGGUAAAAAAGUUUUUGUGCCUAUAAACACUUUACAUGCAGGUAAUUUAAUAGGUAGAUGAGAUUAGUUUGUUCAUAUGUACAAUAUCCGAGAAGAGGAUGAAAUCUCAAUAUAUAAAAGUGCUCGAAAAUAUAGUAUAAACAUAGCAAGCUUGUCCAGUGAUUAAUAUUUCUGUUCAUGGAUACAGAGAGAUAUCCCUGUUAUUCCUAUCAAGUUGAAAGCAAGCAUAUCCCAGAUGAGAAUGAACUAGCUGUCCAGUCAAAAUUUUCAAUUAAGCAAACAUUAUGUUUUUUUGUUAUGGCUAAUCAACACCGAAUAAAGCAAAGAUUCUGCACUAUAGUUCACAUUUGUUUCAUUGGAUGUUCUGUCCUUAGUAAUUUUCGUCAGCUCUCUGUAUGUAUAACAUACUACUGUCUUGCUAGUGGGUUAGCUACUAUACUGCUCGCCUUUGCCUAAAAAUCAUUGUAAGUUCCCAAGCUACUGGUAGUCAUGAUUAAAAUAUAUAAUAUACACUUGAUAUGCAUAUGUUGCCAUUCAUAUAAUUUCCAAAGAUUCAGAAGUUUCGAAUCUCAUCCUACAUGAUACACCAUAUGCUCCAAAGCACAAUUUUAAAUCAGGAGUACUUUUCAGAGAUCUAUGCCCAAAAUAUUAUGUAGAUGACAUGGACAGUAUGCAGUGAAAGUUGAACAAAAAUUGAUUUCCUAAAUAAAUGCUACAGAAUAAAUUAAGAAAAUUGGUAGCAACCUCACGGGCAAGCAUACCUGAAGGCCGGAGAUUUCUUCUCCAGCGUUCCCAGAUGGCGGAGCUAGACGCGGGGGUGCGAGCGACGGGUGAAGAAUGCACGAGGUUUUCCACUGGACGUCGGAGAAGAGUACCUUUGAGACGGUCCGCCGGGGCAGGACGACGGAGCAGAGUAUUUGUCCGCACAGAGGAGAUCUGCCGGGGCAGCCAGGACGCCGGCGACAAGACGGUGGGGUGCUGGAUCUGGACCUCCACUGGGCGCAAUCGCCCAGCUAGGCACCGGAUCUGGCCCGCCGCCACCGUCGGCAAGCUCGCUAUCGCCCAGCUACGCCGCGUUGGAGGAUUUUGGGUCUGUUGCGUUCCUGGGAAGGAGGAGAUGAUUCUGAAAGCAAAACUAGUAGAACCAAGGGAGUUUUGUGUAAAUAAUGUAGUACAUGUGUGUUCAGAUCCACCCACAAAAAUCUGGGCCCUUCAUCCAGGAUCAGAUGGCCAAGACACGUUUUUUCUAUUUUUGCAUCCGUGGUCCUUCUUCUAUUGUAGUCGCUCCCCGAUCAUCAUUGGACCGUACACACCAAAAGAGAUUUUGUAU